rnacentral:tRNA from 1 species
GGGGCUGUAGCUCAGCCUGGAUAGAGCAAGCGCCUCCUAAGCGCUAGGUCGGCGGUUCAAAUCCGCCCAGUCCCG